rnacentral:rRNA from 1 species
GAGGACCGAACCGACUUACGUUGAAAAGUGAGCGGAUGAACUGAGGGUAGCGGAGAAAUUCCAAUCGAACUUGGAGAUAGCUGGUUCUCUCCGAAAUAGCUUUAGGGCUAGCCUCAAGUGAUGAUUAUUGGAGGUAGAGCACUGUUUGGACGAGGGGCCCCUCUCGGGUUACCGAAUUCAGACAAACUCCGAAUGCCAAUUAAUUUAACUUGGGAGUCAGAACAUGGGUGAUAAGGUCCGUGUUCGAAAGGGAAACAGCCCAGACCACCAGCUAAGGUCCCAAAAUAUAUGUUAAGUGGAAAAGGAUGUGGCGUUGCCCAGACAACUAGGAUGUUGGCUUAGAAGCAGCCAUCAUUUAAAGAGUGCGUAAUAGCUCACUAGUCGAGUGACACUGCGCCGAAAAUGUACCGGGGCUAAACAUAUUACCGAAGCUGUGGAUUGUCCUUUGGACAAUGGUAGGAGAGCGUUCUAAGGGCGUCGAAGCAUGAUCGCAAGGACAUGUGGAGCGCUUAGAAGUGAGAAUGCCGGUGUGAGUAGCGAAAGACGGGUGAGAAUCCCGUCCACCGAUUGACUAAGGUUUCCAGAGGAAGGCUCGUCCGCUCUGGGUUAGUCGGGUCCUAAGCUGAGGCCGACAGGCGUAGGCGAUGGAUAACAGGUUGAUAUUCCUGUACCACCUAGUAUCGUUUUAAUCGAUGGGGGGACGCAGUAGGAUAGGCGAAGCGUGCUGUUGGAGUGCACGUCCAAGCAGUAAGGCUGAGUGUUAGGCAAAUCCGGCACUCAUAAGGCUGAGCUGUGAUGGGGAGAGGAAAUUGUUUCCUCGAGUCGUUGAUUUCACACUGCCGAGAAAAGCCUCUAGAUAGAUAACAGGUGCCCGUACCGCAAACCGACACAGGUAGUCAAGAUGAGAAUUCUAAGGUGAGCGAGCGAACUCUCGUUAAGGAACUCGGCAAAAUGACCCCGUAACUUCGGGAGAAGGGGUGCUCUUUAGGGUUCACGCCCAGAAGAGCCGCAGUGAAUAGGCCCAAGCGACUGUUUAUCAAAAACACAGGUCUCUGCUAAACCGUAAGGUGAUGUAUAGGGGCUGACGCCUGCCCGGUGCUGGAAGGUUAAGAGGAGUGGUUAGCUUCUGCGAAGCUACGAAUCGAAGCCCCAGUAAACGGCGGCCGUAACUAUAACGGUCCUAAGGUAGCGAAAUUCCUUGUCGGGUAAGUUCCGACCCGCACGAAAGGCGUAACGAUUUGGGCACUGUCUCAACGAGAGACUCGGUGAAAUCAUAGUACCUGUGAAGAUGCAGGUUACCCGCGACAGGACGGAAAGACCCCGUGGAGCUUUACUGUAGCCUGAUAUUGAAAUUCGGCACAGCUUGUACAGGAUAGGUAGGAGCCUUUGAAACGUGAGCGCUAGCUUACGUGGAGGCGUUGGUGGGAUACUACCCUAG